UGUCAAGUGUCUGGUGUAAAACUGAAUUUGAACUCAGGUUCUCCUGACUAUCCACUGCAACAUCUAGCUACCCUCUCAUAAUAACUAUCUUGAAGUAUUUUUGACUGUGUGUCUUGUAGAAAAGGAAUUAGACUUGUUCUGCUUGACCCCAGAAGGCAAGAGCAGUAAUUAUAAGUUGCAUAUAGGCAAAUUUAGGCUUGCUCUAGGGAAAAUCUUUCUAACAAUUCAAGUAGCAUCACUAGCAUCACCCUGGGACAACAGUGACUAGCAAAAGUAUCUCUCCUUUCCAGGAUGAAUUCCAGACUUUCUCUAUCAGAUUCUAGAAUCCUCUUCAACCUGGAAGUUCAUUCCAGCUCUAGACUUCACAAAGGCCCAUACAGGCCUUCCUUCUGAUUGGCUGGUACCUCCCAGUACCUCCAUUUUUAGGAGGACACACAAGCUAACCACUUCCUUAUUCCUCUCCAAGGUCACACACUAAAUGAUGGAACUUGAGUUCUUAUCCAGCACUCUUCUAUUACACCAUGCUACCCAAGGUCUGAAGGAUGAUCAAAUAACAGGUCCACAAUGAACACACAUAGCAAAACAGAAAUCUGGGAACCUAUAUAUAAAAGAAUGUAUACCAGACAUCACAGAGUGAAGGAACUUUCCCACUGCAAUCAAGCUGGAAGCCAGAAGGGCCCAAAGAAACAGAAGAGAAUGAAUCCCUCUCUUUUCCUCUUAUCAGCUCUUUUCCUCCCCCAUGAAGAUAUGAAAUUGACCUCUACCAA